rnacentral:rRNA from 1 species
AGAUUGAACGCUGGCGGAAUGCCUUACACAUGCAAGUCGAACGGCAGCACGGGAGCAAUCCUGGUGGCGAGUGGCGAACGGGUGAGUAAUACAUCGGAACGUGCCCAAUCGUGGGGGAUAACGUAGCGAAAGCUACGCUAAUACCGCAUACGAUCUACGGAUGAAAGCAGGGGAUCGCAAGACCUUGCGCGAAUGGAGCGGCCGAUGGCAGAUUAGGUAGUUAGGUGGGGUAAAGGCGUCACCAAGCCUUCGAUCUGUAGCUGGUCUGAGAGGACGACCAGCCACACUGGGACUGAGACACGGCCAGACUCCUACGGGAGGCAGCGAGUGGGGAAUUUUUGGACAAGUGGGCGACGAAGCCUGACUCCAGCCAUUCCGCGUGCAGGA